AACAUUUGCAUGCCUUGUGAUAAUCUGGUUCACCACUUCUUAGAGGACGUGAUUACAUGCUUACUUGAACAAAUCUCCCUGGCUGUCUAGCAGUGAGCAUUAGUACAAAUGGAACAAGACAAACAAAUAUGAUGUCUGAAAAAGAAAAACAAUAAUUAUUAUGACUGUCUUUUCCCCAUGUUGUUCCAGUCUUUCAUACCUCAAAAUGCUUUAGGAAAAAAAGCGGUAAAGGGCAGAUCAAGUUCUUGCAGGUAAAUUACUUCUUAUGUUAGAUUCAAAACAAGUUACAAACAACAAGAGUAGAACUGCUUUUGCAUCAAAAGCACAUGUGUUUAGUUACUUGAGGGCAAAAUUACUAGAUCUUCUGCAUGCUAUGUGUUACCAAAGCAACUCAAUGUAUUCUAUGUUUACACUCAGUCAUAUCCCAGGUGGCAGAUCUUAGUAGCAUGAGAUGACUGGUAAAAAUCUAGAAAAAGCAUGCAGCUCAGAUUUUAUAAACCUAUAUCCAGCUUCAAAGAAACCCAUUCUCUUCUUUGACUCAGUUACAGAUAAAUUUGUAAAGAAAAAAUAUGUGCCCAAUACAAUAUCAUUCAGAAAUGAAGGUGAGCUAUACAAAACCAGAUGUAAACUUUCAGGACUCAGUAUCUCAGUGUAGAAGGGUUUCCUACCCACAGAGUUCAGAUUUGAAACUAAACUCAAAUUGUAAGUGCACGAUUCUUCAAAUCCAGAGAUUUAAUUCGAGCUUAGCUGCAACAUUAUUAAAAAGGAGAAAUAAUAAUUAGAAGACUAAGCUUGCCAGAGGAAUUGGGAAGAGUUGUAAGAAAAAGAGAAUUUUGGAAUAUAGGUAAAUGUGGAAGAAUGACAUGUAAUUAAUUAAAUGUAAUGGAGAAUGGAAGUAAUAUGGGCCAGGGACUUGUUAUUAUUGAAGGCAGUAACACUCAGUAAUAUAUCACAGAUUAUAUGAGAUAAGUUGAAGAAAGAAUAGACUUUUUGCAGGUGCAGUCAGAAAAGGUUACAAGUAACCUUUAUACAUCUACCUAUAGAAGUGAUAUGAAAACUGGCCUUACCUAAGGAAAUAGUAUAGUGAUGGUGGUUGAAGUCUUGUAUAAUGAUCACUCUGUUUUUCAGAGGAGACAGAUCAGAAGUUGACAGAUUUUCAGACUCAUUGCAUUUGCAGUACUUGCAAAAAAUACUGAAAGCCUUUGCAUUUGGAGUAGAGUGGUGUAAUCAGAGAGGAGGAGGCCUUUGGAAAGAGAAUCUUACCAUGGACUUGGUGAUGGAAAUGGGAAAAAAAAGAGGGAGAGUUCUGACAGUUCUAAAAACUUAGGAAAAAAGAAAAGAUAAAUUUCCAAGAUUGACAUUUGGUUUUCAGUCUUCAAAUAGCAGAGAAAAGAUGUUCAAAGAAAUAUUACUCAACCUCCAACAUUUCUAAUUGACUAAGGCUAUUCCUCCAUUAUAAUGCUGAUACCUGUAUUUCUGAUUUUGUCUUACCAAAAACGUUCUCUAAAACUGUCAGUUUAAGCAGCACAUUCAAAAUACAAUCUUUUUUUUCCCGGGGCCAGCUUUUUUUUUCUGGGCUCUGAAAGCAUUGCUCUGAUACAAAUCUACAUCUAUGUGUGCCUGCUGCAUUAGUGAUCAUACGCAAUGGCCUGUCUGCUGUGGGAGAUUAUGGGGAUAUUGCAGGCAGGGGGCACGGGAUCAGCCAGGAUGUGUACAAACUUCAAAUUGCUGGCUACACCCCUGACUGAAGUCUACAUAAAUUAUGUCCACCACGUUCCCAUCAUUUAUUUCUUUUGUCAUUCCUUCAAAGAAAUCGGUCGUAUUCUGUCUGACAGGAUUUAUUCUUGGUAAAACCAUUGCUGAUCUUCUUUUAAUAACUCUUUCUCCUAUAAAUACCCUGCGCUUUCAUCCCUAAUGAUUGAUUCUCAUAUCUUAACUUUCAGCAAUAUAUCUGAGGAUAGCUAUUGAAAAGCAAGUUUCAUCUGCCAAGGCAAGAAUAAAGAUGAACUCAGGUGGCCUUGUGCUUAAAUGUCUGUGUAUCUAUUUAUCAUCUGCUAAGGUACAAACAGCUCAUCAUUACAACAACCACUGAAGAUGAAAACAGUAUCCUUCACUCUGUCAAUUCUAAACGGGGAUCCAGUUUCUGGAAAUACCAGUUAAACUUUGUUGAACAUAAAAAGGAAAAAACAAUCUUUUAUCACAGACAUUUUUUUUCUGUCAGAAAAUCCUUUCCCACCCUUUCCAUCGAUACAUGUCCACUACAGCUAACAAACAUGUACUAAUAAUUGUCAUGCAUUUGUCCUAAUAUGGACUCCAACUUAUCUAGUGUAAAGCUCCAUAAUAUACUGUUUUGCCAUGUACUUUAGUGGUAAGAACUUACGAUUAAAUGGCAUACAAUAAUUAAGGUUUUCUACCAUUAAAUUGUUAGUUAUUAAGUAUUUUAUUUCCACUUAUUUUGAAACAUAGAUUAAAAGCAUGGUAUCUACUCUUGCUAGUACAAGUUUGCAUGCCUGUAUCCGCUCUAGAACCAGGUGAGGCAAUUUCACAUUGGUAUUUUGAGGUCUUGUUAUUGCACUGAUGAAGAAACUUCAGUUAGUCUGGAACUCAGCUGCUGAAAUUUUGACUGACACUAUGCAUGAAAAUCACAUUACCCUGGUUGUAAAAAACCUUCUCUGGCUACCUGUAAAGUACAGGAUUAUGUGUAAAGUCCUAGUUAUUAACUUACAAGUCCUUAAAUUGACUUGGUUUUGAAUACCUCAGAGACAUUCUGGAACCAUACAUCCUCAGUCGUUUUCUUUGGUCUCAGUCAAUUGGAUUAGUUCUUUUUGGCUGAAGACAUUGAGCUACAGGGCAUUUUUAGUGUUUGCUCUCUCCUUAUGGAAUUCAUUAACCAUGGAGGUCAGAAUAGCUGACUGUCUAACAUGCUCUAUAUCUGAACUUAAGGUACAUAUUUUCAGAUUGCAUAUUUGGAUGUAUACAAGUUAUACGAUUCUCAGAGGUUUCUUUAGUAUUUUCACAGAGAUAGGAGCCAGUGUCAGUAUUUUGGAGCUAGGAUUAGUCUUGGCUUAAGGCUAUUUUCCCUCUAGGUGCUUCAAAAAAAAAAAGUGCUUUCUGUUAUUGAAGAUUUUCCCAAUAACUUUCAGAGUAGAUACUUGGCAGACAGAAGUGCAAUGCUCAACAUUCCUAUUUUUAAAACAUGAUCUAGAUUAAUGUUUCCAGGAAGUACAGGAGGUGAAAUAGAGAGUAAAAUGCUUUUUAUAUUUUUUGAAGCCUUUCUUUCAAAUUGUAUGAGUAUCUGCUUUCAAGACAUUCAUUACUGUCUUCCUUUUUCUCUCCUGUACUCAGCUGAAGCUCCCUUACUUUUAGCUGGUCUGCAGAACAGUAAACAAGCAUUAAAGCCAGGCGUUAGAUCAAAUUAUGCUCUAAACUAAAUAAUUAAUAAGACUAGAUCAGAUCAUAAUUUUACUGUACUAGCAGGCAUUCUUAUGAAUCUCUGUGCGAUGUGAUGGUAAUUACAUUCCGCAGUGCUGCAGGUGGACAUAUUCUAAAUUAUAAAAGCAUAACAAAUUUAAAAGCUUGAUUAAUGAGAUGCAUAGUCUAACGCUACUUGAUUUGGCACUCCCAUUGUGUCCUGGGCAAAACUGUUCCCUAGUUUCAGUGAGGAGGAUGCAAUCAAAAGAGAAAGGCAUGGAUGCAUACAAUCCAUGAAUGUGCUUCUUAUAUUGGUAUAUUAUAUAGAGAUCAAUUCCCUAUCAGCAGUGUAUGAAUAACUGCCUUGAGCUUGCAUGCCAAUAGUUAUGGGUAGAUGUCAUCACUUUAAAAAAUAAAAGCUGUUUCUGUAGACAUGCAAGACAGAUUGGUGAAUUUACCUGGUUUAAAUUAGGCUGAGUGGUUCAUGAUGGUAUAAGGAGGGGAAAGAUAUUUUAAUAAAACCAGCCAAAUCAAACCUUCCCUGCCCAAUCGACUUUUCACAGAACAGGUUGACAGGGUAUUAAAAGCUGUUCCAUUGCAUUCUGCAUGUGAAAAGGGUGCCUAGCAUCUAGAUUUAAUAGAGCCCUAAAUAGCUAUAGAUAAUUUAUUCUAGUUAUAGCUUUAAGUUCUGUUUUUCAGAGAAUAUGAGUCUUACAAAAAUGGUUUCCAUGCAAAUCAAAACCAGCUGAAAGCUUGCCAAGGCUAAGAUGUAAUUUAAGAUGGCAUUUAAGCUGCUCUGUCUUUUCUGUCUCUAGAGAUAUCAUCAUAAAAUAAAAGAAUUCAUCAGGUAAUGUUUUCUUCAUUAUUCAACCGCACAAUUCUGAAGUGAAAAGAUAAUUAGACAUACAGUGCUGUCGACACAUAGUUUAUGAGGAGAUUCUGAUUAAUUAGCUAUGGUAAAAGGUUUUUAUAUAGUCAUAAUUAAUUUAUAUUUCAAGAAAAGAAGCAAAUACUCAGUACACUGAUUUUAAUAUUUUUUCCUCUGACAGAUUUAUCAAAGUAAUUCUGAAGUUCUGUUGAACUUACUGCACUUCAUUGUUACUUUAUAAAACGGGAAUAAGAUCAAACAGCACAAUUAAUGUUGACUUUCCUGGGAGUGAGAGAGUUUAAUGCUCACAGCACUUUGAAAAAUGCCUGUUUUCUCUACCAAAUCAACAAAUGAAACCACUGUGACUGAUCAACGUGAUACACCUUGAUCAGAUGUUGAAUUUACAUUGAACCAGCAGUGAAAAAUUUGGAUGUAUCACAUAAGUUGCUUUAUAUGUUUUGCCACACUUUCUUCUUCUGACCUGACCAAAGCCAAAAGAUCAGAAGACUUUUCCAAUUAUUCUGUAUCUCUUUUAGCUUUGUAUAUUGAGUUUGAAAAGAACAGACAUAUUGUCUUAAAAUAUGGUGUAGUGGAAAACGCUGUCACAGCCUAAAACAGUGAUUGAGCACCUGGUGGAAAGGCAGAUCCAACCCAGGGGAGCUCAGGUGCAUGCAAUGUACCUGAGUGACUGGAAGGGGUGGAGCUAGGAUCCACUCUUUCCCAGACCUCAUUUAAGGGUUGGCAAGGGGGAUGAGAAUAUUUUGCUGGAGAUCCCUGCAUAUCUGAGGUCUUCUGAAGGUAAACAGCUUCUUUUCCUUAUUUUUUGUGUCUGCUGUUAUUGCAUUUGAGUGAAUUCUCAUUUGCUGCAGCCUGGGAUCUUGCUGCUCUGCUGUUUUUGUUAUGCUUUCCAUGGUGUUAUUUAUGGUCAUGUUAGCUUUCUACUUGUGAUCAGACCUCACAGCUUCUGUGUUGACUUAUGCUAUGGUUAACACUGAAGUGAGCUAACUAGAGCAGUAGAUAAAGAGAUGGAUUGAUACAAACUCUCAGCACUUUCUCCUGUGGGUAGAAGAAAUCUAACUUUUUCAAACUGCCCAGAAAAGGUGAGCCUCCAUACUCAAGGGCAGCUAAGAGAGACAAAGCCACAGAACCUAACUUGUGCAUCUUCAGUAAAUUAGUACAGAAAUUAAUUUAAAGCAAAUCUGAUCUUUGAGAAUAUCUUUGAGCUGUACCGCUGUCUUUUCAACUGCACUAACCUCAGCACCUAUGCAGUUUAGCAAAACACUGAUACACAGUAACAUAGCUUCAAGACUCUUUCUGAAAAAAUGGGAUAAUAAAUUCAUGUUAUGGUAUGAGGAGUAUGCAUGCAGUCACCAGAUGCUGAUCAGGAACUGCCAUUCGCUUCUCUUAAUCAAUUCUUCUGAGAGUAAUUUAGAAUUAAAUCUCCUCUUGAGACCCACAUCAACAGCCACUGGAGACAAUAGAAUUUCUUCCAAUGCAAUUUGGUGCAAUCCUCUGAAAAUAUUCAGGUAGAACUUCUUCUAUGAGCAGAAUCCAAGGGACUGCUGAAAAUACCCUUCCUCCUCUUGUUUCAGCAAGAACUUUAGGAUUUUAAGGCUAACUUUUAUCACUAAGCUGUAGUAUUCCAAGAACUGUCCGUGCAUUUUUUUGGUUAAGCUUAUUUGAUGCAGUAUAUUGCUCAAAAUGAUUUGGAACUAAAAGAAGUGUUACAAUAGUGAAGAUUCCUGAAUAAAUAAUUCUCAAUUAAGUGUUAGCACCUAAUUAUAUUAACUUAUAGUAAUUACUGAUUCAAUUAUGGAAUUGAAGAUUAACCUGAAAAUGCAGACUGGCUAAUUUAUUUUUAUGAUAACUAUACACUAAUAGCACAUGUAGUUGGACUUCACUGUGUGCAAGCAAGGUAAGGGCUAUUUUAACACUCAUUUUAGAAGCUAGAUAAUCUUGUGACACUUGAAGAAUAUCUGAUUAGAAUAUGUACUGAAAUGUGUCUGAAACAAUAUUGUUUAAAGUCUCAAAUAUCCUGCACAGCUGUAGCAGAAUAAAUGGACAGAUCUUGUUAUAAUGGUUUUAUAUUGUUGUUAUGGUCAUAUUGUUAUGGUUUUAUAUUUUUUUCCUAGUAAAAUUUGAGUGGGGUGUUUCAUGUCAGAAUCUGACUUGUAUAGUAAGUAGAAAGCACAAAUAUCCACAAACACACUUGUUUGUGUUUUAUCUUGGCAAAAAGGAGAGCUGGAAUGUUUUAUGAUUCAAGUUUGGGUAGAAGAGAGAACAGGUUCAAUUGUUAGUUUAAAGGAUUUUAGUGAAGUAGCUAGGGAAAGCUUUUGAAUAUUAACACCGAGGUGGGGGAAUAGGUUGUCUGACUGCUGUGAAACUUUGAAGACCUUUAAGAGCAGUGCAGAAGGUGAAGGUGACACAGCUAAAGCUUCCCGUGGGUCAGAGAAGAUCAACAAGAUAAACUCCUGAGUUCCCUCUAGACCUCAGAUUUUAUGAAGGAAGAAAAAAUAUAGUGCAUAUGGCUUCCAAGAGUGACUGCUGUUUUGAUGACGACAUGGAUAACUGCUUUUAUUCUGAAGUGUGGACUUCUGCACAGUUAAAAGGGGGAAGAGAGAAUUCCUGAGUUGCUCCAAAAAUGUAAAGCUGGAUCAGCAGUAAAAGAUGUUGAAGCAGCAGCAUUUCCCUGAGAAGCAGCCAACUUAGAAGUGGAAUAUGGAUUAGUGUCAUCAGGAGCAGCAACAAGAGCUGCAUAGGCAGUCUGAUGGAGCACUUUCCUAGCACAUCAUACUGCAGCUGAACAGCUGAACCACUCAGAAUAUCACAGCUGAAAAAUUUUGUCCAGAAUCAUCAAGCAGAUUUGUACCCUCUACACUCUGAAUUUAUACAGGUUACUGAAUAAAGAUGAAUGAAUAUCUUACAUAGUUGGUAUAAUUUUGAUCUUCAUAAAAUAAAAAUGUAGUUCCACUACUGUAUGCAGCAGUGGCAUGAACUACAGUUUGAUAUUCCAUAGAGUAUCUUUGCAGAAGUCUGUAAUCUCUUGC
rnacentral:lncRNA from 1 species